CGGCUUGGAGCGGGACAGGACUCUGGGCUCCCAUACCACAGGCCCCCUUCCUUCUUUCCUGGCUGCGGCUUUAUGCCAGGCUGGGCUCUGGGCGCGGAGAGGACUUGCUGGUGGCACAGGCCAGUGAGGGCGCCCUGGCCGGGGUGCUGACCACACUGACCAGGCCGGACGAGGCCGCCGACCCCACAGGAAUAUCAGGUUCUGAGCCCCUUCUCUGCCGGGCUGUGAGCUGAGGUUCAGGCCCGGGGCGGCCUCACAGGCCCUUGUCCUGAGGAGACGUGUGCCCAGCACUGCACAUGGCCCCUGGCAGACGGCUUCCUCCUCCUGCUUCCGGAAGAUUGAUGUCCCCAGAGGAAGAGCACGUAAAUCACGAGAGCCGGGGACGCGUGGCACUUCCAAUCAAUGACUCAUGACAAGUCAUAACUUCCGCCGUCAGAAAGGGAAGCUCUGGCACGUCCAGGAGCCGAGCAACAGCCAAGCCCAGGAACUGGACACGCACGCCCCGGAAAUGGGGAGAAAGUUCCGCAGGGCUGCUGGUUCCUGGAGCUGGCGCCCGGGCUUCCUUCCGAGCGCUCGGGUUCAAGAGGAGAAAAGCCACGAGCUGGAAGGAGCCGUGUGGAUUUGGGAGGUCGCGGACCCUGCAGAGGGGGACCUGGGGGGCGGGGCUGACAGAGGAGACCGCACACCCCUGUGCUGCGGAAAGUGGGUGGUUCUAUGGGGCCCCCGGUGGCCUCACUCACUGUCCUCCGUCGCUCUGAAUGUUUCCCAGCCCCUCUGAGCGCACACAGAAGGGAACGUGUGGGUCUCAAAAUCUCCCCGACUGGCUGCCCUGUCUGCCUGCUCCCCCUGGAUCAGGUGGGUGCUAAGGUCAAGGGCAGGGUCUGAGACCCCAGUGUGGUUGUCCCGGAGCAGAAACAGCUGUAGAACCCAGACCCAACAGAGGUGAGCAGGAGGAGAGCCACCAAGGCUUGACCCACAGGAGGCCCCCCUCCCAGAAGGCAGUUACAGAAACAACCUGGGUAUCGACAGAAUCGUAUUAACGCACUUCACCUUGACCCUGCCUACUGAUAAUGUGUUUCUUAAGAUUAUCCUUAAUAAUCAUACGUGAGUACGAAGGGGUCACAGAUCUCUAGGCGAUGACUGCCCAGACACGCUAGUGGGGAAGCCCCAAGCCGCAAGGUCCAGGGGGAUGGGCUGGGCCGAUGUUGAACUUGCCCCUUCCCCAGGGGAGCCCCCAGGACUCAGGCUCCUCAUGGGCUAGGAGUUCCCACCCCUCCGGGGUUUGGGGUAAGCUCUCGUCAUCGGAAGGUGGGAGACUCCAGAUCACCCCUCCACAUUUCAAAGCAGAACCGAAUUCCAAUUCCCAUAAAAAUGGGGGCAGACAGAGCUUCCCGGGGAUUGCGGAAGGACGGAGCACCAACUCACAGCCACCACUCGUCACCCUCCCCUUGGGGUGACGACGUGGGGGACAGAAGGCCUCUCCCCCCAUCAAAUUCUGGCCUCACGUCCUUGCUGUUUAAUUAUCCCAUCUAUCCAGUAGGCAAAUAUUGUGGACCCUCCCUCACCGUCGGAUUCUGCACCCUCGCAAGGUGGUGAAACCAGAAAGACAACGGUCUGCACUCCUGACCUUCCCGCCCCCGGGUCCCCCACCCGCCCCUGGGAACGCUGAGCUCAGGGAGACCGAGUGGCCGGAGCGGCGUGGCACAGCUGACGAGCGGCUGGGAUUCGGGCCGGGCUGCGCGCUGAGUCUCUGGGUCACACGGCCUCAAGACGGGCUCCAUUCGGAGACCCGGUGGGUGGCUGGGGGCAGGGAGGGGGCGUGACGCAAAGGAGCUGGACUUUGUCUCCCACAAAGAAUGUUCCCGAUCUGUGGGGAGGAGGCCUCGCGGCAGAGCCCCGAGUGCCCGGGUGUUUGGUCACAGCUGCCGGGCUGACUCGAGACCCCCGUGCAUGGGGGCGGGGGAGGCAGAGGGCCACCAGACGAGACCGCACACUUCCUAACGGGACCCAAUUACAGCAGCAGCUGUGUGGGGGAACUCGGCGCUGAUCCGCUGUGAAAAAUGGGCAGCGCUCGGAAUCCAGCGGCAUCCGCGCGACUGUCCCCUGAGGCCGGGAACCCCGCGGCCAGGCUUGCUUGGGGGGGGGGGGUGCGGGGCGGGGCAGGUGGAACCAGCAAGGCUCCAGCCUCCUGCAUUUCCAGCUCAGGGUCGGGGGUCGGAGGUGCCCACGGGGAAUCCUGGAGGACUGCUUCCCACCCUGGGGCCCUCGAGGGCUUCUGGCUAACAUGGAGCGUCAGCCUCACCCUCUCCCUUCCGGAACCUUCGCGGAGCGGGGCAAUGCCCCAGGAGCGGCACGGAGAACCCGGGCUCGGAGCCCCAUCUGGCCUUUUACAGGAGAAGCGCGCUGACCCCGGGCCUGCGGCAGACGCGGCUUCCCAGAGGACGGAGAUGGGAGCUCUCCCAUCCAGCUGCAAGCCGCAGAUGCAGGCACAAGGCUUCCUGAACAUUCUGUGGGAACGAGAGGCUUGCACGGGCAGAGGCCGCCCUCCCGUCCCAGGGUGGAGGACGCCCAGCAUCGAGGCAGGACUCCACGCGGAAGAAACGUCGUAGGUUUUUCAGUUCCGAUGCCCCAGGUCUGCGGCCACCACGAGGGGACCCUCCAGGCAGGUGGGAGAGGGGUGGCCAGCGAGCCCGGCGGGCAGAGUUCCCAAGAACACCUGAUCCUGCCGACAGCUGCGGCCGCGCGGCCUGGGGACCGCAGGGAGCACAUUCUCAGCUGUAGCCUCCCACCAGGGAAAGUCGGUGUGAAAUCGGACGCAGUCUGAAGCUGCUCUGUUCGUUUUCCUUUCUUUCUUUGUGUCCCUGCCUGUUUUCCGACAGGGAGAGGCUCUCAAAGUUGGCGCGAAGUUGGCGCAAAGCGAGGCCCAAGCCACCACUUGGAGUUUCUGCCUCCAGCCUCUGGGCUCCGCUGGGUGUUCGGCCUCCCCUGAGAUGCGGUACGGUCCCUUCCGGGGGCAGGGGCGCAUGCUCAUCCCCAGACGCCUCGGGGCGGGGGGGUGUCCUCGUAACAUCUGGGGACCUGGAAGGCUAUUGUAAUUGGCAGCCUCGAAACCGCCUUCUGGAGAGUGGCCUUGAAACCACCUUCCAGAGAGCGGCUGGAACAUUAGGAACCACACGGCAGGUGCCGAUGGAGGCAGCUGUCUGGGUGGGGAUCCUCAGCUAUGGAGCUCGGGCCCCCAAACUGUCCUCUGGCGAUUUCACUUCAUGAUGAUGUGGGCUGGGGGGGUUAUCCUGCGGCCCCAACCGCUGCGUGUCCCGCCUCAGCCACAGCAACACCUCACAGGCAGCUGCAGGGUGAGUACCGGCCAAAGACAGAGGCCAAAGCCCCUGCUUUUCCCCCGCACCCCUGCGCACAGUGCAGUCUUCUCCCACGUCGCCUUGCCCUGCUCUGCAAAGGUGGCCAGCACGUGUGCAGGUCCUGGGGCCGUGUCACCGUCUGAGGAAGAGGAGAACCCUGCCCGGUUCUGAGAACCGGCUCUGAACCCCACCGCUGUCCUGGGGCCUGCGUCCAGGAAAAGUGUGCACACCUCCCUCCUUCCUCUCCGUGGUCCUGGUUUCCCUGAAGCUGGAACAAGCCACUGAGUUCACAGACCCUGGAGGCAUCUGGACGGGAAGGCGCUCGGAUGAGCCCGGAGACCACGGCAAGAGCGCCUGCCGGCCUGGACGCGAUUGCCGCAGCCCGGCAGCCCCGAUGGGGGUGGACGGCCCCUGGAUGCUCGUUGGCUGUGUGUGCGCCUGUCAGUUUAAUGUGACGAGGUCACCGUCUGUGUGCGGGGUGCACUCAGGAAGAUGACCCCCAUUAGCUCAGGGGGGACGGUGCAGCACAGAGCGCACGCGGCUCCCUGGGCCGUGGUGGGGGCGGGGGCGCACGGGAAGACGGCCGGGCACCCGCAGGCCGCCGCCAUCUGUCUCUUGGAGGAUCCCCUGAGCCGACCGGCAGGACACUCGCUUCCAGGGAAGCUGGGUCACGCAGCCCGUGCAGGGCAAAAAGAGCCUCGGGAAAACAUCGGCCGCCUUUUCAGAAAUGUUCUUGGACGCAGUUGGACUUCAACUCCAUUCUCGGAGCUGGGGGAUUUUGGUCGAUGGCAUAAUGUGUUUGUUCUUUCCGAAGACUGAAGCGCGAGCUGCAGUGUGCCAGGCGGGGGCCACGGGAGGGUCUGUGAAAGCACUGCCUGCGGGUGUGGAGGCCAGCAUGGCCCCACCCCAGGAGAGAGGGAACAAGGGAGGGGGAGAGAGGGAAAGCAGGUGCGCCGGGACAUCCCCACGCGGCAGAGACCCUGGAGGCCGGGGUAAACAGACGAGGGUCUGACAGGUAGACUCGCGGGACGGCGUUCCGGGUGGGCGGGCUCCUGGGCAAAGACGCCACGCUUCGCUAAGGACACCGCUCACCUGGACUCCCGGUCAAGCCUCAGCUUGACCUGCCAUUCCCUCCCCAGGCCAGCUUCUGGAACGAGCCCCUGGGAAGGCAGAGCAAGAUGAGACCCCCGUUCUGGCUGACCCUUUGCCUGGACUCUCGUCUCGGCUGGGCCACGACCCCUCUUCCCGGGUGGCUGCCACAGCGUCCCUUUUGCCCACAGAAAUGGACGGCGGUCCAGGGAGGUACAAAAGGUCCCUUCUCUGACCUCCGGUGUGGGGUGUUGUGCUUGGCCUCGUGGGCUUCAUGACGGCACAUUCGUGUGCGUAACGGACACAGUUGACCCUUCAGAAACACGCGGUCUGGGAGCGCCGGCCCCCCGAAAAGCUGAGUAUAACUUUCGACCCCUCCCCAAACUUAACUAACAGCCUGCUGUUGACGGAAGCCCUACCGGUCACCGAAACAGUCGGUUUACACAGAGCUUGCGUGUUACGUGUAUCGUGUCGUACGAUCUUACGAUAAGGUCCGCUAGAGGAAAGAAAACGAUACUAAGAAAAUCACAGGGAAGAGGAAAUACCAUAACGCACUGCCUUGAAUGAGGAAAAAACCCGCGUAUAAGUGGGCCCGCCAAGCCCCUGUGGUUCAAGCAUCCGCCGUAGAACCCUGUCAGUGGGGGCUGCCCGGGGGUUGCAGGUUAAAGCAGAAGAUUUGGGGGGCCCGUCCCCCACUGCACACUUGAGACGUUUUGUUUCCGAAGGCAAACGUAUUCACGGACCUUCAUGGGUUUUCCUCCCUUCCCUGGAAACUCUGUGCUUCUGUCCCCCGGGGCGGUGCAUGUGGCCGUGGACAGGGCCUCCCCCGGGCUCUCCUUCGAGGAGGGACGUCCUCAGAUUGGACCAGCGUCACCAGCACGGGGGCGGCCUCCUGGCGGGAGAUUCUUUUUUUGUCUUGUUUUCCCCUAAUGGAAAAAGGUUUAUUUGAAUAAAACUGUAAAACUCAGAUGUAGCCAAGAGGCCACAUCUCAAAACAGAACCGGAGGAGGAGUGCAGGAGGCCCCAGGCCAGCACCUGCUCUCAGAGCCCCCCCGGGAGCCAGAGCUCGGGACACAGCCGCCCGCAGGAGGCUUUCCGCGGCCAGCGAGGGGAUUUGGCCGUUGCCCUCACCGAGCCGCUCCCAGAGCUGGGCCCCGAUCCAGUUUCCAGGGCCCACUUUUGGGCCCACGGGUCCUGUUCUCCUUUCGGCGUCGGCCGAUAAGAGCGAGCGGCAGACCCCGUCACGGUCCAUCCCUGAGCUCCUCGCUGUCACAGUCCUGCCUCCCCGAGCACCUCUGCUCAGCAGCUCACGCCUGAAAGACACCACAAUCUUUUUACCCAAUUUUCCAGCUGAGUUGACUGGGGCCGGCAAAGGUCAAGGAGCUUGCCCAGGGUCACUGAGUAAAACAGCCAAGCCUCUGGCCUCAGGACAAGGACGCGGGACUCCGGUUCCCCUUCCUGACCGCUUAACCAGAGGCUCCUUCAUAAAUAAUGGACAUAACGGGGCUUCACUCUGUCUUUGGCAGGCAGGCUGUGCAGGCAGCCACCGGGGCUGUGGUCCCCGUGCACCGCCGAGCCCUCGCGGGGCUGCAGGCCUCACGACCCCGUGCGCUCCCGGGACGGAGUUUGUCGCAGGCGUCCCAAGACCCGGAGAGACAGUCCGACGGUGGGUCGGUCGGUGGGCACAUGCGACCGUGGCUGAUUACUCAUCACUGACAGUUAUUAGCCUAUUAUGAAACGUAUGAAUUGCCUCUUUCAUACCACAUCCCUGUCCUUAAAGUGCCUUGUUAACUGACGUUAACCAAUCCAAUUAGCAAAAGACACUGUAUUCGCGUAAUUAGUAAUUUGAGGCUUUGUCCCGUCUUGGUCUUAAAGAGAAAGGCGUUGGCCUAUGAUUGGAACAGCACCACACAAUUAAGUGAAGUGCUCACCGAUCAGCGGGGGACACACUCGAUCCCUGGGGUCCCGCCCGGGACCUGGCUCUGCGCGGGCGCCGAGGUUCGCGUGUGUGGAGUUCAAGUGCGCCCGCGCUGCUCCUCUCGGCUGCUGGCCUGGCCUGCUACAUCAGGACGGGAGAUGUUUAUUUUUAUUAUAAACUGAGAGGCCAAGCAGUGAGGAACCUGGUUAUUAAACACUCCGAGCCCAAUUCUGCAGAAAAUCAAAAAAAUCCAACUUUGAGGAUUGAUUGCAAGUUUUUUUUUCUAAUCGGACGCCAAAAGGAACAUUGUGGGGAAAGAUGUCUCAGGGCGGUCCUCCUCCAGGCAGCUUUUCUGUUUACGUCUCCGAGCGAGCAGUUAGGUUUCGGAGACGCGAAGACAGCCUCCACGGGGCCAGAUGUUCUAGAUAAGACCUUCGGGCUGCGGGCCGCGUGUGUGCACAGCGCAUCCACCCCCAGAGCCGGCUGCGGCCUCGUCGGAAUGAUCGGGCUGCGGGACGUCCGCCGGGAGAGCCCGUGUUGGAAGUGACCGCAGCACGAUGUGACUGGGGCCCUUCUGCUUUGCCCGCGGGACAGUCCUACUGGCCUAUAAAACCGCGGACUAUGCUCUGUGAGUCUCAGCCCACCCCCUCCCCCUGCUUUUUGGUCAGCCAACUUUUUGGUCCCCCUACUCUUGUUUUGCUUUAUUUGUAUGUAUUUUGUUCAUCAGGAGGCUUAGCACACUUGGAACAGGGGUUCCCCGACGACCCCCUGCCAGCCGUCCCUGGUUCUGGACGGGAAGGAAGGCCGUCUGGCCCCGGUUCCUAGCACCUGAGCCGCCUGAAGGAGGCAGCCGCCGUUUCACGACACGUCCUUGAACCUGCCCACCCGCCUGGCACUGUCCCCACUCCGCAGGCCAAGCCUUGUCCUGGAAGGGGCCACCGCAGGGAUCCAGGCUGGUUAUGGCUCUCACCCCUGCGGCACGGACGCGGGAGAAUCACCCCCACCAAAUGCGCUCGGCUCCUCCAGAGGGAAAAAGGUGGCCCUUGAGGGUCGAUGGCCAUGUCUGCGCCCUGCCCACACGUCUGGCUGUCCCUGGGGCUUGUCUGUGCUCUGGGAGCCUGUCCUUGGCGAUCAGACACUUCGGGGGGCCGCGCCUGGGUUUCCCACUUUGAGUCCAGAUGCCGACUUUGUUCCGGUGCCCAUUUUGGACGCAGCCUUUUUUCGCCUCCUUCGAGUAGGAUUCUCAUUGUUUUUUUGUUUCUUUUUUUUCCGUUCCGUGUCAAAGGAAAGUUCAGAUCUGUACGCCUGAAAGCAUCGUCUUUCCUGAUUCUCCCCGUGCGUGCGUGUGCCCAUCGGCCGGGGCAGACGGGAGGAGCCCGCGCGGUGCUCACGGGAGGCGGGACGGGCGAGGAGACCCUGGCUGCAAACAUUUCAGAAACCUCUUCAAAAUAUCUGGGUUUGUCAAAAUCCCAAACCACCGUUUGCCAGGCACUUUUCCCGCUAGUGUUUGAGCCCGCGGGUAUUUUAAAGGAAAUGAAAUCCGUGUGUUUCUGAUUUAUUUAUACUUAACUCAUCAAAAUGCUGUUUUAAAGAGCUAUUUUGUGUCCAAAAUGCCCUUUAUGCCUUUUUCCCUUCCAAACUAAAAGCCAUAUUUUGCCAAGUGUAUGUGACCUUAAACGCUAACAUUUUUCAAGGCUCUUUGGAAAAUCAGGUUCACCUAGCCCACGCAGACCUGCACGGGACCGAACGGUGUCCCCCAACA